rnacentral:guide_RNA from 1 species
CACACGGAAAUCAUAGAUAGCGAUGAAGAUAGUUAAUAU